UACGUAGGUGGCAAGCGUUGUCCGGAUUUACUGGGCGUAAAGGGCGUGCAGGCGGUCUGUUAAGUGCAGGGUGAAAGCUCCCGGCUCAACUGGGAGAGGUCCUUGCAUACUGGCGGACUUGAGGGGGGUAGAGGAAAGUGGAAUUCCCGGUGUAGUGGUGAUAUGCGUAGAUAUCGGGAGGAACACCUGUGGCGAGGCGGCUUUCUGGGCCCUACCUGACGCUGAGACGCGAAAGCGUGGGGAGCGAACCGG
rnacentral:rRNA from 1 species